AAUCUAACUGGGCUGGAGGGCGCUCCCAGAUGGUAGAAGAAAGAUGAUCUCUGCCACCAGGAAGGCCUGGAAGGCUCCCUAUGCAGGAUCCCAAGUUGAAUAGCUUCUCGGGAUGGUGAGCCAGCAGGAGCCCAGGCCUCUGCUCUCCAGUCCCCAGAACCUGUUGCUGCAAGGACCACCAAUUCCCAAGCCUUCUCUAAUCUCAAUUUGACCUCACAGCCCUUCAUUCAACAAGCAUCCACAGAGGACCUGCCCCGGGCCAGACAGAGAGAAAGCCACAGGGAGCAGCCAAGAAGCUGGACAUCAGUGGAUCCCGGAAGAGAAGGGAGAGACCAGGAGACACCACCAUGUGCCUUGCCAGACGACAAAUUAAGAACCAAGGAUCGCCGGCAGCCAGUCCCAGAACGCCGCAGUCUUUGGGGAGAAAGCAUUGCCUUGAUGAUGUCUGGAUUUGAGCUUUUUUCCGAACCUCAAAACCGGUCUCUCCAUGGGGUCUCUCCAGCGGGUCUCUGGAUUUCUUAAUGAUGGCUCAGGGAUUCCAAAAGGACAAAGCAGAAGCUGCCAGGCCUCCUUAAGGCUCUGAACUGGAGUUGGGUGCAGCAUCAUUUCUGCAGUGUUCUGUAGGAUAAAGCAAUUUCCAGGGCCAGCUCAGAGUCAAGGAGAAGGGAAAACACUAGAGCAUGAAUUCCAAGAGGGAUUCCACUAGUGCAGAGAACUAGCUCCUUUUAAGAACCAGGCACUUGAAUCAAUCAGAAUUUGGGGGAGAGAAGUAAAGAUGGAAAAUGUCUGCCUUUCUUCACAAAACGAGAGAUGAAAGCCUUGAUUAAUGCUUGCCCAGAUGCUGAGCCCGGCUGUGGUUGGAUUUUCCUUGGCCAAGCAAGUGGAAUGGGGCGACUUUGCUGUUUCCUGUUUGCCUCACCCCAGUCAGAUCCACAGGUGAGGCAGCCUCAGAGUCCUGGGACCUCCCCUGUCCCCCACCCCCUGGGGACUUCUCCUUGUCAUCCCUGUUGCUGGGAGAUGGCUCUUUCUUGGCACUGGCCAUGAGCCAGAGUCCAGGGGGAAAUAGGUUUGCUUCCUUUAGGGGAGGACGUUGGAAGAGACAUGUCGGGUUUUUAAGCCCAUCACCAUGACCCCACAGGUACUGGAUUGCACACAGGUGCCCAGGAAUCCUCUGUUAAAUGAAGGGAGCCAAACUAAGCUCUGGAACUAAGCCCUCACUGCUGGCCAAGCCAGUUCCUGUGGCCCCGGACUCAUGCAGUGUUUGUGGCAUGUUUAUUGUAUUUCGUUAUCUCCUUAUAAUUGUCCAC